UUUAUUUUUUAAGAACAAGCGCACCCAUUCAUAAGGCUAUGGAGCAAAAGCGGAACGGGGGUUGGAGGGGGAGGGAAGAAAAAGGAACGGCCGGAAUACACUGCUGCACAAUGUUCUAUCGGGUUGGAGUGUGACGUCACAGCAGCCAAUCAGAAUGCUGCAUAUUUGCGUAGCAUGGCUUUCCGGGAGGCGCAGUUUCAUUGCUGGCCUGGGGUUAUCUUUAGUGAAGGUUCUGUGAGCUGCAGCGAGAGGUUGCGGGUUGUAAAGUGGCGUCAGAAGAGAAGAGCCAGCUGGCUGCAGCUGGCAUUAAAACAACUACAACCCUACAGGUUAGAUGCAAAAUAACCCAUCUGACAGGCACUUCUACUUUGGCAGUAUGAUUCCAGAAAGCUGCUGCCAUUCAUAUCGUCAACAGUGCCAGUCAAUGCAUCCAAGCAGCCUGAC
rnacentral:lncRNA from 1 species